rnacentral:rRNA from 1 species
CUACGGGGUGGCAGCAGUGGGGAAUAUUGGACAAUGGGGGCAACCCUGAUCCAGCAAUGCCGCGUGUGUGAAGAAGGCCUGCGGGUUGUAAAGCACUUUCAAUAGGGAGGAAAAGCUUUGGGUUAAUACCCCGAAGUCUUGACGUUACCUUUAGAAGAAGCACCGGCUAACUCUGUGCCAGCAGCCGCGGUAAUACAGAGGGUGCGAGCGUUAAUCGGAAUUACUGGGCGUAAAGCGCGCGUAGGCGGUUUGAUAAGUCAGAUGUGAAAGCCCCGGGCUUAACCUGGGAACUGCAUUUGAUACUGUCAAACUAGAGUAUGGUAGAGGGAAGUGGAAUUCCGCAUGUAGCGGUGAAAUGCGUAGAGAUGCGGAGGAACACCAGUGGCGAAGGCGACUUUCUGGACCAAUACUGACACUGAGGUGCGAAAGCGUGGGGAGCAAACAGGAUUAGAUACCCCAGUAGUC